rnacentral:rRNA from 1 species
UACGUAGGUGGCGAGCGUUGUCCGGAUUUAUUGGGUUUAAAGGGUGCGUAGGCGGCUCAUUAAGUCAGUGGUGAAAUACGGCAGCUUAACUGUCGAGGUGCCAUUGAUACUGGUGAGCUAGAGUACUGAUGAGGUAGGCGGAAUGGACGGUGUAGCGGUGAAAUGCUUAGAGAUCGUCCAGAACACCGAUAGCGAAGGCAGCUUACUAAGGAGUAACUGACGCUGAGGCACGAAAGUGUGGGGAUCAAACAGG